UUAUCUCUACCCUUCUUUCCUUUGCCCUUGACUCAUAGGUCCAAGUAGACCUAAUGCCCUAAAUGGUAUAGCGUAUAAGAUAUGGGCCUUGUUAAGUUGUUUUUCAAUAUAAAAAUUAUCUGCUGACCUAAUGGGCUUUAUUUUUUUUUUUUCUUUUCAUCAAAGAUUGAAGCCGCUUUUUCAUUAUGGGGUUUUAAUUUUCAUAAUGAAAACGCGCCUUUUAUGUUUUUAAAAACAUUUUCAUCAUUGAAAAAAUAAAGAAAUCGCAUAACGCGGUGCUUUGUAUUUAUCUAAAUUUUUAUCCUAAAAAGACAAUAUUAAAAUUCAGCAUUCAUCUUUUAAAAAAUAAGUAUAAAAAUGAUUUAAAAUAAAUUAUUUGAAUUUAGAUAAGUAAAAUUUUUAAAAAUCAAGGUGACAUCAAUUCUAAAAUUUAGUAUAUCAAAAUUAAAAUUUUAGAAAAUUUAAAAUUCAACAUAUAUCUAAAUAAAAAGUUAAAAGUAAUUUGUUUUUUUUCUUUUAAUAAUUUAGAUGAGUUAAUGUUUUAAAAAAAUCAUUGUUAGUUAUAAAUUAACAAAGAAGUUGUAUAACCAUUCAUAUUAGACUGAACUAUGCGAGCUUCAGCAUCUGUUUGGUUACAAUGAACAGUGUCAACACGGUAUAACCUUGACCAGAAGUGCCAUUUUGCCCCUCAAUUCUCCUCACUUGUUAGUACUUUCCAGUACUUCCGUAUUGGUAGUUACAUUCCCUGGAGUGGUUUUUGUUGACUGCCUUUUUUUUUUUUUUCUAUUUUCUUUCUUUCCUAAUUUAUUUUUAUUCUUUUUUUAAGUGAUGAAUUGGAGGAACAUGAGGACUAUUUUGUACACUUGGCCAUUGGUCUCCUUUCUUCUUACAAGGUAUCAAACUGUCAAUUACAUUCUUUCUCCAGUGUCUUAAAUUUGGAGAUAGCGUUCAAUGCUGUAUGCUAUGAUUUAAAUUUUCCUUACUUCCUGUUCAAUCUGGGAUGCAACCUUUUAUACGUUACAGAAAGAGCUAGAGCCUUCCAUCAGUCGUAUUGGGAAAUUUGUGGAGAAUCUAAAGAGCUUAAGCCAGGGGUAAUGUAGUUUGUAGCACUUGAUGGUUACAGCCAAGUUCCUAUUUUACCCCAUAUCAAAAAAGGUUCUGAUAUUUUUUCCGUGUCAUAAGACAGGUCAGAGACGGAAGUUGCUGCAGAUACUGAGGACUUGAAUCCAAGGAAAAGUCUUGAACAGCAGUAUCGGGACCAUGAAGCGAAGGUAUGUGUUUAGUUCCAAUAUUUCUAGGUGACCAUAUUUCCAUGUCCUAUUAAAAAAAGGAUUCUAAUCCCCACCUUCUCAAUCUUUUUUUUCUCAUGAUUCUUUAAUAAACAAUUUGUUAAUUCUAUUCAACACCUAGCAAUACACAAAUUCUAUUGUCUUAACUAUUGGCAUGACCAAUGAUUAGUGAUUUUUUUUUUCCUUUUUGCAGAUAAUAACCACCUUCAGUGUAGUUGAUAACAUGAAAGAGCAAUUUUAUGCUCAACAAGGGAAAAUUUCCAGGUCUGGUGUUCUGGUUAUGUCAUUAUGUAUUUCUUUUCCUAAACAGUAUUACUUCUUGCUUUGUGUAGAUCUAUUCCAACAUUUUGACCCCUCUUAAUCCAGAAAAAAUGAUCCAAGGGUGAAGGGGCUGUUUGAUGAUCUUGAGAAGUUAAGAGCGGAAUUCGAAUCCAUUGAGAGACCAAUUCUAGAAAUAGAGACUCCAACCCCAAGGGGGCCAGAGUCUCCAUCAGGUGCCAAGCUGCAGGGAAGUUUAUCCCAAUCCACAGUGCAGGUUACGGAGACACAGAAUGCCGUGACAGAUGAGCAUCCCAAGUCACCUGCAGUGAAGACAGAGCAGGUGCUAGACCCUGAGGCAGAACUGGCAAAGCUGGAGUCAGAGUUUGGGAACGUUAGUCGAGAUUACUCGGCAGAGGAGAUUGGGGAUUGGGAAUUUGAUGAGCUAGAGAGGGAGUUGAGAUCUGGUGAUACAGCUCCCAGCAAAUAAAAAACGAACCACCACACGUCUGCCCUAUUAUACGCUGUUAUUAUACAUGUCUAAUAACCAAGCCCGAAUUUAUACUAAGUAGGAUGAUGUUACAGUUUCCGACCUCUCUCAUAGCUUCAUUUAAAGAUCAGGAGCUUUUCUCUGUAACAUGGAUGGGGGAGUUCAAUUUAUUUAUUCUUGUGUAAAUUCUCAUACUUGUCUGAAUGAUGUAAUAUGACAAUGAUAAAAACAGAUGUAGGGGAGAGACUCUGUUUGGAUGUAAUAAAAAAGAGGUUUUGAAACAAUGAGAGUGUGAUCCCAGAACACAGCCCUAGUUUUGGAAGAGAAAUAUGUGGACUCUAUGAUAUUUCUUUGCACCAAAAGUUGAUUCUGAAAGGGAGCCCUCAUGCUUCCUUAUCUAAGAAAUGGAGGAGCCGACAGGAGGAAGGUGGGGUUUUCAGAUCUUUGUUUAUGUUGAUGGACUGAAAAGGUUUCCACAUAUAGAAAUACCAAUUUGUUUCAUCUUUUGAGAGGCAUCAUCAUUUUGCAGGACCCGGCCAGGCUUUCAACUCCAGGGAACAGAUGGUAGUGGAAUUGAAGCCCCCCCACCCCAAACCUCUUCUUCAAAAGCUAGUUUCUAAAAUGACUACCAAAAGGCUUUCUCCGAACUGUUUAGCUGCUGUUGUAUUUUUCUACUUUAAUGGGUUGCCGGCGGUAUACCCGGCACCGGUGCCCCUCUGCUCAGACCGGAGACCCCUCACCCGUCUCUAUGUGAGCCAAUAAAAAAACUCUGGCUUCCUGAUUUUCUGAAUUCACGGGUCAUUCAGAUGGAUACAUUUAUGGCUAUCCUUUCUCACCUAUUACUUGAUUUGCUGGCAGAAAUUGUCUCCCAUAAUCUUAGUCUUGUUGUGUAGAGUCACCAUAGAUGUGGUUCCUUGUAACUUCCUUCUUAAUGAUAUCGUGCCUAUAUGUCGGUAACUUCACAAAUCCAGAAAUACCUAACCUUAUGAACCCACAAUAAGGUUUUGUAACUUCAAAAUCACAUGUUUACACCUAGGCAAGUAUGGUUGUCUUGUAAUUUUCUCGGACCCUAGCAAUGAUAUGUUCCUUGUUGCAUCCAAACACGAUGAUCCAAUUACUAGUAAUUCUAAAUUUAAGGGAUUGAAGAAUCAUCUUUUCCUAGUGGACCUUGUGUGGCCAUUCAUGGAUUGCAGCAGAAGGCAACUUGCAACCAGAACAAUAGACCUGACGAUGGCUUGAACAUGACAGGAAAGACUUACUUGGCAAGGAAUAAUAGAGGAUAUGAUUUUUCUAAUGGUCUUUGUAUCAAAACAAAGUAGCUAUAAGCCUAUAAUUAACUUGCUUUAGAUUUUGGAAAAGGAAGUAUCAGUCUUAGAGCUUUGCUAGUGGUUUAAAAAAGAGAAAACAGAGUUAAAAAAACAUGGGGUAUCAUUAAAAAGAAGAUGGGGGCAAACAAAAAUCUCGAGCAUCCCAGGCAACAUUUCCAGAAUUUCGUUUUCCCACAAUGAAAUGUCGGAUCAAGUGUUGGUUAUCAAAUAAUAGUGAGGUCAACUCUCUGUCUUCCCCCUGUCUCUUAACUCUUUUUGAAUCAUUGAAGUAAAGAAAACAAAACAAAAUUUAACAACUGUGGCGAAGAUAAAGAUAAAGAUGAAAGAUGAGAGAAGAUGCAGACAUGUAGAUUAGUUCAUUAAAGAAAUAGACAACCAUGAAAAAGCCGUGGAGAAAUUCUCUAUAAAAAAAUCAGAAAAGAAAGUGAAAAAAAACCCAGGAAUCCAGUAAAAGGAGUAAAACCAGUAAAGUAUAUAAAGUGAUUCUUUAUCUCUAACUAAUAUUUUAUUUAGCUUGGGAGCUUCCUUUCAAGGUUGGUUCAUUAGUUUUUUUGAUAGGCAAUGGUUGGUUUAGUUAGGGUGUGGAGAAAGAGAGCUGUGGGGAGAGAGCUAUAUACAUGAAUUAAUAUAUUGUGAGUGCAGAGAACCAGGUUUUGAGAUAUGGGGAUAUGUGCUGGUUCCAAAUAAGAGGAGACAGAAAAUUGCAUACCUAUUUAUUUAUUAUGCACAUACAUGCUUUUAUUUAUUCAUAUUUAUUUCACUACAGAGAGAGAGAGAGAGAGAGAUCAAAAGGAGGUGGUGCCGGUGGGGUUUUAUCCCUUUACUCCCACUGAGAUACAUUGUUAACCAUAUCAGAUAUUUUAUUUAUUUCAAUCCCUAUUUCUAGUGCAUUUUUUCCUUAUAUAUGUGUGUCAGUAUAUAUUUAUACACACUUACAUGUAUAUCCAAAAUAUGGGAUAUUUUGCAAACUAAAAUGUUCCAUCAAUGUAUGUUCCAGCAUUGAAAACUUUGAUUUCUAAGACAAAUCAACAAAUCAAAGCUUUUAUCUAAAAGUCUCAAUUACCUGGAAUCAGCCGUAUAAUCCUUUCUGCCAUUGAGAUCCUAAUCAUCCAACUUGUGGGGUGUUCGGGUUAGAAUGCAUCAGAUCAUUGGAUCAGCAUAUUGGCCCACCCACCAGACAAUUAACUCUUAAUGAUGUCAAACAUAAAGCUCUGUAGAGAACCUGCACCACCAAAAGAGAGAUGAUAGCAUUACUGUGUAAUCCACCUAAAAUCAGUAAUGAUUCUCUUUUAGUUUGUUCUUGUUAGAAAAA
rnacentral:lncRNA from 1 species